rnacentral:rRNA from 1 species
AACGAACGCUAGCGGCGUGCCUAACACAUGCAAGUCGAACGGUCCAGCAUUUUCAAUUAGUUGAGAGGGUAGUAAUACCCAUGAUUCUAUGAGAAAGGGUUGGACGGUGGCGGAUGGGUGAGUAAUACGUGGGUAAUUUACCUUUAAAUUUAGGAUAACAUUGGGAAACUGGUGCUAAUACUAAAUGUGAUUACAAAAACGCAUGUUUUUGUAAUUAAAGGUGGCUUAGUUGUUUUCAACGCUACCGUUUAAAGAUAAGCCCACGGUCUAUUAGUUAGUUGGUAGGGUAAUGGCCUACCAAGACGAUGAUGGAUAGCCGAUCUGAGAGGAUGAACGGCCACACUGGGAUUGAGAUACGGCCCAGACUCCUACGGGAGGCAGCAGUGAGGAAUCUUGCGCAAUGGGGGAAACCCUGACGCAGCGACGCCGCGUGGGCGAUGAAGGUCUUCGGAUUGUAAAGCCCUGUCAAGCAGGACGAAAUUUAACCAAACGAACAAUUUGGUUAAUUGACUGUACUGCUAAAGGAAGUCUCGGCCAAUUACGUGCCAGCAGCCGCGGUAAUACGUAUGAGACAAGCGUUGUUCGGAAUUACUGGGCGUAAAGAGCGUGUAGGUGGUUAGGUAAGUCGAAUGUGAAACUUUUUGGCUCAACCAAAAAAUGCCAUUUGAAACUGCCUAACUUGAGUACAGAGUGGGAGAGCGGAACUUUCGGUGUAGCGGUGAAAUGUGUAAAUAUCGGAAGGAACACCAGUGGCGAAGGCGGCUCUCUGGUCUGAAUCUGACACUGGAGCGCGAAAGCUAGGGGAGCAAACAGGAUUAGAUACCCUGGUAGUCCUAGCCGUAAACGAUGAGCACUAGGUGUGGGAGGUAUUAAACCCUUCUGUGCCGUAGCUAACGCAUUAAGUGCCCCGCCUGGGAAGUACAGCCGCAAGGUUGAAACUCAAAGGAGUUGACGGGGGCCCGCACAAGCGGUGGAGCAUGUGGUUCAAUUCGAUGCAACGCGAAAAACCUUACCGGGGUUUGACAUAUAAGUGACCAUAUAGGAAACUAUAUCUUCUAGUUCUGCUAGACACUUAUACAGGUGCUGCAUGGCUGUCGUCAGCUCGUGUCGUGAGAUGUUGGGUUAAGUCCCACAACGAGCGCAACCCCUGCCUUUUGUUGCCAUCAGGUAAAGCUGGGCACUCUAAAGGGACUGCCGGUAAUAAACCGGAGGAAGGUGGGGACGACGUCAAGUCCUCAUGGCCUUUAUACCCCGGGCGACACACGUGCUACAAUGGUCUGCACAAAGGGUUGCGAAAGAGCGAUCUGGAGCUAAUCCCAAAAAACAGGUCUCAGUUCGGAUUGAAGGCUGCAAUUCGCCUUCAUGAAGUCGGAAUCGCUAGUAACCGUGGAUCAGCAUGCCACGGUGAAUACGUUCCCGGGCCUUGUACACACCGCCCGUCACACCACCCGAGUUGGAUGCACCCGAAGCCACUAUCCUAACCAGUAUUGGAGGGAGGUGUUUAAGGUGUGUCUGGUAAGGGGGGUG